ensembl:lncRNA
GAGGACGAGCCGUUCUCAGCCCGCCUCACGCUGCGGCUCUCAGAGUAAUCGCAGCACCUUGGACGGGGCACAAGGGCUCACGCUCGCCCGACUCCUCUGUGGCGUGUGCGUUCAUCACCCUGCUCUCUCGCAAGUGGCGCUUCCAUCCCUCCGGCUCCUCCGCAGGAUCGACUUCACAGCGACAGACGUUGUGCCGAGGCCUUGAGACACGUUUGAGGUUCUUUUAAAGAAUCUCUGUGAACAAAAGUGAAACCUGCUUGUCUCUCUUGUUUCUCUCCGACUAUUUUCGUCGUAAAUGACACACUCAGCGUAAUGAUUCAGAGGUCAAGGCUCCUUUUCGUCUCGUAUUUACGGAGUUGGCUCUCAUGCAUAAAUGCAGCAGCUGGCUUAUUAACGAUCCCACGAUGACAAUGACUCAUCCGCCCCGUCUUCCACACAAGCAGGUCGCAUACGUUUGAACCUACUUGUAAUACAAAUAUGUUCAACAUAUUGCAGUAAUGAUGAUGCGGUGCACUGCAUGAGGUCGCGGGGGAAUGAACACACGCGGUUGUUGCUGCGUGGUAGAAUUCAUCCGUUAGACGAGUCUCGUGGUCAGAUUCAGAUUUGGAAUAAAAGCAGUCGUGCUUUUUGAGAUUCCUGUGAUGUUUAAAAAGGAAGGUCAGCGUUGGAUUACGGCGACAUUUUAUUCAUUCAGCUGCCACUCUGAAGCCUCGUGGUGCUGUUUAUCACCCAGCAAUGAACUUUGUGACAGCGGAUGAUUGCGACACUGAUCAUUGUUUGCUGAGGUUGGGUCUCUGUCUGUAUUUACUCAAAGGGCCCUCACUCUCUUUUUACUCACUUGCAUUGAUUCGUUGUUGUCUGUUAAUCUUUGCCCUCGUCGAACAGGCUCAAAUGAUUCAAUGUCGGAGGUGACGGCUUUUUAAUGGGCCUGAAAAAUCCAUUUCUCAUUGAGCUCCUGCAGUAUGAAAUAAUAUGCAGAACAAUCUGAAGCUUUUCUAAUUCUAUUCUGGUUGUUCAAUCCUGUUGAUUUUUGGGGAAAAUAAAAUUGUUUUAAAAAAAAAUGUCCAAACAUGCAUGUGGAAAACUGUCAUGGGAACAAAGUAGAAAAAUAUUAGGUUAAAAAAAAAGUGGUAUCUUUGGUUGAAAUUAUAUUUGAAAAGAAAAAUAUUAGGUCAAAAAUGUAUUUAAUUAAAAAA